AUGUUUACCUGGCAGGGGAGACACCAUGAUCAGGCAGGUGGUUUUCCCAUGGCGAGGCUCAUCUGCAUAAUUUGUGGUAGUGGGGGACUGUGUUUUCGAU
rnacentral:snRNA from 13 species